UGGGGAACAUUGGACAAUGGGCGCAAGCCUGAUCCAGCCAUGCCGCGUGAGUGAUGAAAGGCCUUAGGGUUGUAAAAGCUCUUUUCGGCGGGGACGAUAAUGACGGUACCCGCAGAAGAAGCCCCCGGCUAACUUCGUGCCAGCAGCCGCGGUAAUACGAAGGGGGCUAGCGUUGCUCGGAAUCACUGGGCGUAAAGGGCGCGUAGGCGGACAUUUAAGUCGGGGGUGAAAGCCCAGGGCUCAACCCUGGAAUUGCCUCCGAUACUGGGUGUCUCGAGACCGGAAGAGGUGAGUGGAACUGCGAGUGUAGAGGUGAAAUUCGUAGAUAUUCGCAAGAACACCAGUGGCGAAGGCGGCUCACUGGUCCGGUUCUGACGCUGAGGCGCGAAAGCGUGGGGAGCAAACAGGAUUAGAUACCCUGGUAGUCCACGCCGUAAAACGAUGGAUGCUAGCCGUUGGCAGGNUUGCCUGUCAGUGGCGCAGCUAACGCUUUAAGCAUCCCGCCUGGGGAGUACGGCCGC
rnacentral:rRNA from 1 species